rnacentral:tRNA from 1 species
GGGCAUGUGGUUUAGUGGUAUAACAUUCGCUUAGCAUGCGAAAGGUUCGGCGUUCAAUUCGCCGCUUGUCCA